rnacentral:rRNA from 1 species
UACGGAGGAUCCGAGCGUUAUCCGGAUUUAUUGGGUUUAAAGGGUGCGCAGGCGGGGGAUUAAGUCGGCGGUGAAAUUUUGCAGCUCAACUGUAAAAGUGCCUUCGAAACUGGUUUCCUUGAGUGUAGACGAAGUAGGCGGAAUUUGUGGUGUAGCGGUGAAAUGCAUAGAUAUCACGAGGAACUCCGAUUGCGCAGGCAGCUUACUAAACUACUACUGACGCUCAGGCACGAAGGCGCGGGGAUCAAACAGGAUUAGAUACCCUGGUAGUCCCU